UACGGAGGAUGCAAGCGUUAUCCGGAAUGAUUGGGCGUAAAGGGUCCGCAGGUGGCAAUGUGUGUCUGCUGUCAAAGAAUGAGGCUUAACCUCAUCAAGGCAGUGGAAACUACAUAGCUAGAGUACGGUCGGGGUAGAAGGAAUUCCUGGUGUAGCGGUGAAAUGCGUAGAGAUCAGGAAGAACACCGGUGGCGAAAGCGCUCUGCUGGACCUUAACUGACACUGAGGGACGAAAGCUAGGGGAGCGAACAGG
rnacentral:rRNA from 1 species